GGCGUCGUGGCCGAGUGGCUUAGGCACAGGUCUGCAAAACCUGCUACAGCGGUUCGAUUCCGCUCGACGCCUCUA
rnacentral:tRNA from 1 species